CGUAGUUGACGACGUGUGUUCAGUGAAAUCGAGUAGGGCGGGACACGUGAUAUCCUGUCUGAAUAUGGGGGGACCAUCCUCCAAGGCUAAAUACUACUGACUGACCGAUAGUGAACCAGUACCGUGAGGGAAAGGCGAAAAGAACCCCUGUGAGGGGAGUGAAAUAGAACCUGAAACCGUGUACGUACAAGCAGUAGGAGCAGGCUUGUCCUGUGACUGCGUACCUUUUGUAUAAUGGGUCAGCGACUUAUAUUCAGUGGCAAGGUUAACCAUCUAGGGGAGCCGUAGGGAAACCGAGUCUUAACUGGGCGUUCAGUCUCUGGAUAUAGACCCGAAACCAGGUGAUCUAGCCAUGGGCAGGUUGAAGGUUGAGUAACAUCAACUGGAGGACCGAACCGACUAAUGUUGAAAAAUUAGCGGAUGACUUGUGGCUAGGGGUGAAAGGCCAAUCAAACCUGGAGAUAGCUGGUUCUCCCCGAAAGCUAUUUAGGUAGCGCCUCGGACGAAUACUACUGGGGGUAGAGCACUGUUAAGGCUAGGGGGUCAUCCCGACUUACCAACCCUUUGCAAACUCCGAAUACCAGUAAGUACUAUCCGGGAGACACACGGCGGGUGCUAACGUCCGUCGUGGAGAGGGAAACAACCCAGACCGCCAGCUAAGGUCCCAAAUUACUACUAAGUGGGAAACGAUGUGGGAAGGCUCAGACAGCCAGGAUGUUGGCUUAGAAGCAGCCAUCAUUUAAAGAAAGCGUAAUAGCUCACUGGUCGAGUCGGCCUGCGCGGAAGAUGUAACGGGGCUAAGUAGUAAACC
rnacentral:rRNA from 1 species